AACCCAUAGUGGGAGCACCUUUUCAAUAAAUCAUUAUACCUCUCCCAUGCAUCAUAUUACGUUUCUAAAUCUAUCUGCUCGAAGGAAAAGAUGAUGUUUCUCAACUU
rnacentral:snoRNA from 1 species